UCCAUGGUGGUCUAGUGGUUAGGACUCAAUGCUUUCACUGCUGUGGCCCAGGUUCAAUCCCUGGUCUGGGAG
rnacentral:tRNA from 1 species